rnacentral:rRNA from 1 species
UACGUAGGGGGCAAGCGUUGUCCGGAUUUAUUGGGCGUAAAGAGCGUGUAGGCGGCCAUACAGGUCCGUUGUGAAAACUGGAGGCUUAACCUCCAGACGUCGAUGGAAACCGUAUGGCUAGAGUCCGGAAGAGGAGAGUGGAAUUCCUGGUGUAGCGGUGAAAUGCGCAGAUAUCAGGAAGAACACCUGUGGCGAAAGCGGCUCACUGGACCACAACUGACGCUGAUGCGCGAAAGCUAGGGGAGCAAACAGG